rnacentral:rRNA from 1 species
GAGGAGCGAAAGCAUGGGGAGCGAACAGGAUUAGAUACCCUGGUAGUCCAUGCCGUAAACGUUGGGCACUAGGUGUGGGGCUCAUUCCACGAGUUCCGCGCCGCAGCUAACGCAUUAAGUGCCCCGCCUGGGGAGUACGGCCGCAAGGCUAAAACUCAAAGGAAUUGACGGGGGCCCGCACAAGCGGCGGAGCAUGCGGAUUAAUUCGAUGCAACGCGAAGAACCUUACCAAGGCUUGACAUGCACCGGACGCUUCCAGAGAUGGUUGUUCCGUAAGGUCGGUGCACAGGUGGUGCAUGGUUGUCGUCAGCUCGUGUCGUGAGAUGUUGGGUUAAGUCCCGCAACGAGCGCAACCCUCGUCCCAUGUUGCCAGCGGGUUAUGCCGGGGACUCAUGGGAGACUGCCGGGGUCAACUCGGAGGAAGGCGGGGAUGACGUCAAAUCAUCAUGCCCCUUAUGUCUUGGGCUUCACGCAUGCUACAAUGGCCGGUACAGAGGGCUGCGAUACCGUAAGGUGGAGCGAAUCCCAAAAAGCCGGUCUCAGUUCGGAUUGGGGUCUGCAACUCGACCCCAUGAAGUCGGAGUCGCUAGUAAUCGCAGAUCAGCAACGCUGCGGUGAAUACGUUCCCGGGCCUUGUACACACCGCCCGUCAAGUCACGAAAGUUGGUAACACCCGAAGCCCAUGGCUCAACCGGUUUUCCGGGGGGAGUGGUCGAAGGUGGGACUGGCGAUUGGGACUAAGUCGUAACAAGGUAACC